AAAUUCAAUCAGCAGCCUUAUCUAUAUUCGAUGAUACACCUACCUUCUUUGCACAUACAGACGAACUGGUUCAUCUUAUGGUUGGCGGUGCAGUUUUUAGCGAAGUUCUGCUUUUCCGAAGGACAUUGACACGGCAUGCAAGAGUUGUCCUGUGUUUUGUAAAAUCCUUCAGCGCAAUAUUCACAAUGAGGACCAUUGGUAUCGUUUCUGCAGUUC